rnacentral:rRNA from 1 species
AGUGAACGCUGGCGGUAGGCCUAACACAUGCAAGUCGAACGGCAGCACAGGAGAGCUUGCUCUCUGGGUGGCGAGUGGCGGACGGGUGAGGAAUACAUCGGAAUCUACUUUUUCGUGGGGGAUAACGUAGGGAAACUUACGCUAAUACCGCAUACGACCUACGGGUGAAAGCAGGGGAUCUUCGGACCUUGCGCGAUUGAAUGAGCCGAUGUCGGAUUAGCUAGUUGGCGGGGUAAAGGCCCACCAAGGCGACGAUCCGUAGCUGGUCUGAGAGGAUGAUCAGCCACACUGGAACGGAGACACGGUCCAGACUCCUACGGGAGGCAGCAGUGGGGAAUAUUGGGCAAUGGGCGCAAGCCUGAUCCAGCCAUACCGCGUGGGUGAAGAAGGCCUUCGGGUUGUAAAGCCCUUUUGUUGGGAAAGAAAUCCAGCUGGUUAAUAUCCGGUUGGGAUGACGGUACCCAAAGAAUAAGCACCGGCUAACUUCGUGCCAGCAGCCGCCGUAA